rnacentral:misc_RNA from 1 species
CAUCCCUAAUAUAUUGUUCCUGCAUGUGAAAAUAUACUUAGCUCUGAUCAAUUACAAAUGACAGACACAGAAUUAACAAGCUGAUUUUAUAAAUGUACAUAGUGUUACGCCAGGAAGAUAGAAUCUUUGCCCAAAGGCUGAUGUACUAAAUAUAGCAAGGAAACCUCUCAAGUCUCAACACAAACAAUGUACAAUGUUAGAGAUCCAAAAAGAUGGCCACAUGCGAUGUGUCUACAUGGUAUAGAUCUAAAUAGCCAGAAACAACUACAAAAGGUUAACAGCUGUGCACGAGCAUUACAUAAUCAGAAAAUGUAACAGUAAAUAGCCAUGUAAGGUGCAACAAAUGUCGCCUCAUAAAAAUUUAGCUAAGGGGAAUAGAGAGAAAGAAAACAUGGAUUUGAAAACAAAUCAUAUAUACAAUUUAAUCUGAUUCCCAAGACCCACAUAUCGAGGGAUACAUACAGUAUAUGUGCGUGUGUACGUAUACAGACAAAGACAUUA